GAUGAACGCUGGCGGCGUGCCUAAUACAUGCAAGUCGAGCGAACAGACGAGGAGCUUGCUCCUCUGACGUUAGCGGCGGACGGGUGAGUAACACGUGGAUAACCUACCUAUAAGACUGGGAUAACUUCGGGAAACCGGAGCUAAUACCGGAUAAUAUAUUGAACCGCAUGGUUCAAUAGUGAAAGACGGUUUUGCUGUCACUUAUAGAUGGAUCCGCGCCGCAUUAGCUAGUUGGUAAGGUAACGGCUUACCAAGGCAACGAUGCGUAGCCGACCUGAGAGGGGGAUCGGCCUCACUGGAACUGAGACACGGUCCAGACUCCUACGGGAGGCAGCAGUAGGGAAUCUUCCGCAAUGGGCGAAAGCCUGACGGAGCAACGCCGCGUGAGUGAUGAAGGUCUUCGGAUCGUAAAACUCUGUUAUUAGGGAAGAACAAAUGUGUAAGUAACUAUGCACGUCUUGACGGUACCUAAUCAGAAAGCCACGGCUAACUACGUG
rnacentral:rRNA from 1 species